rnacentral:lncRNA from 1 species
CCGAGGAACUCUCCCAACCCCGCGUCACCCUGACCUGCCUGGCCCGCGGCUUCCGCCCUCGCGACAUCGAGAUCCACUGGCUUCUCACUUUCCCCUUCCAGGACCCGACUUCUCCCUUUCCCCUUCCAGGAUCUGACCUGAGUCACCUCUUUCUCCCCUUCCAGGACCUGAAUUGCCACUUUCAACCCCAAAACAACCCCAAAUCCACCCCAAAUCCCCCCCCCAACUACCCACAAUCCCCACGAAGAAUCACCGCUUUCCCCUUCCGGGAUCUCAUUCUUUGCUUUCCCCUUCCAGGACCCACCUCCCCGCCACAGAUCUACCCCCUCCCCCCCCACGCCGAGGAACUCUCCCAACCCCGCGUCACCCUGACCUGCCUGGCCCGCGGCUUCCGCCCUCGCGACAUC